rnacentral:rRNA from 1 species
GACGAACGCUGGCGGCGUGCUUAAAAACAUGCAAGUCGAACGGACUUCUCAUGAAGCUUGCGAUUGAGAAGUUAGUGGCGGACGGGUGAGUAACGCGUGGGCAACCUGCCCCUGAGCCCGGGAUAACAGUUCGAAAGGACUGCUAAGACCGGAUAUACUUGCGGUGAAGCAUUUCACUGUAAGGAAAGGGAACGCUCAGGGAUGGGCCCGCGUCCCAUUAGUUAGUUGGUGAGGUAACGGCUCACCUAGGCAAUGAUAGGUAGGCGGCCUUAACGGGUGGUCGCCCACACUGGGAUUGAGAUACGGCCCAGACUCCUACGGGAGGCAGCAGUCGAGAAUAGUCUACAAUGGUCGGAAGACUGAUAGUGCGACGCCGCGUGAACGAUGAAUCCCUUCGGGGUGUAAAGUUCUUUUAUAUGUGAGCAGUGCUUCUUAUAUUAACAGUAUGGGGAAGAGAUAUUAGCAUAUGAAUAAGCAACGGCUAACUCCGUGCC